ACAUUAGACAGAGACUCGGCAGCAGCGCUCUCUGAUAAACCUGAACCUUUUAUACUGCGACCUCCAACGUAAUUAAUAAGUUUCAGAGGAAUUCCUAUAUAUUUCCAUUCCUAGGAAAUGGCAGCGUCUGUGCUUGGCGUACUCUUGGCUUUAUUAGCUGUUUCUACAGCUUGGCCCCAAGAAUAUGGGGUAAUUAUACUAGACUCUGGUCCUCGCUUCCAGUAUAUGUCAAGCCCUCAAGGUCUCGAGGUGGUAGACCUGGCGUGGAAACCGAGCGAUCUAUUCAAUAAGAUCGUAUUCAACCCUGAAACAGAUGUCUACUUCCGUCUUUUCACCAGG